rnacentral:rRNA from 1 species
UACAGAGGUCUCAAGCGUUGUUCGGAUUCAUUGGGCGUAAAGGGUGUGUAGGUGGCGCCGUAAGUCGGGUGUGAAAUUUCGGAGCUUAACUCCGAAACUGCAUUCGAUACUGCCGUGCUUGAGGACUGGAGAGGAGACUGGAAUUUACGGUGUAGCGGUGAAAUGCGUAGAUGUCGUAAGGAAGACCAGUGGCGAAGGCGGGUCUCUGGACAGUUCCUGACGCUGAGGCGCGAAGGCCAGGGGAGCAAACGGG